rnacentral:rRNA from 1 species
GGACGAACGCUGGCGGCGUGCCUAACACAUGCAAGUGGAGCGACGAACCGGACUUCGGUCCGGGGCAAAGCCGCGAACGGGUGAGUAACACGUGGGUAACCUGCCCUGAUGAUUGGGACAACCCGAGGAAACUCGGGCUAAUACCGAAUGUGUCCAUCGGCCUCAAGGUCCUUUGGGGAAAGGAAGCUUCGGCCUCCGCAUCGGGAUGGGCCCGCGGCCCAUUAGCUUGUUGGUGGGGUAAUGGCCCACCAAGGCGACGAUGGGUAGCUGGUCUGAGAGGACGAUCAGCCACACUGGGACUGAGACACGGCCCAGACUCUACGGGAGGCAGCAGUGGGGAAUCUUGCGCAAUGCGCGAAAAGCGUGACNCAGCAACGCCGCGUGGGGAAGACGGCC